rnacentral:lncRNA from 1 species
AACAUGACCAAUUUAAUUUCUUUCUCAUUAUUAUUUUUAUAAUAUUUUUUUAGCUACUAUAUGGAGUUAGUGAUCCUUUCACGAAUGAAGCCUUCUUGUGUCAUCUUUUUCUUUUUUCGCUCAAUCUUAAGUAUCCUCUUAAAAUCAGCUAGCACUUUUUGGGCUCUUAAAGGUGAAGACUAAACCUUAGAUUGUGACUCAUAUGGGCUGUAAAUUAUAGCACAAGCUUAACAUAAC